AUUAAGCCACAAGUUGGAGUUUUACUAUCAAUGUAGUAAAAGAACAUCUGAGAAUAAGUAUAGAUUUUGCAGUUUCUGACUUAAUGUGUGAACUCGGAAAGUACAGUUGUGACUUCUAGAAUCUUUUCUUCUGAAUUAGAACUUUGGGUAGUUCAUGAUAAACUUUUGGCUUCAUACUGAUUUGUUGUUUUUUCAAUUUACAUGAAAUCUUCGAUUUGCACACAGAAACCAUUAUCUUUGGUAUUUAUGGAGCUUUACAGACUACUAAGGGAUGGUCAGACACUGGAAGAAGUUGCCUGCACAGGCUUUGUAAUCUCCAUCCAUGGAGACUGGCUGAACAUAGUCCUGAGUAACCUAUUCUAAUUAUACCUGUUGGAACAGGAGGUUGGACUAGAUAAUGUCUACAGGUCCCUCCCAGACUUAAUUACUCCUGUGACUCAAAUGAUAAGUUACUCCUCCCUAGCAAGCAGGAAGCAUAAGUUUCUCCUUCAAAGACAGUAAUCUCCUUUAGAAAUUGUUAGACCAGGUAACAGCACAAUGACAAUUUCUGACAUAGGAGGUAUACUGUAGUUUACUAGUGCAAUUUCCUUUAGAAACCCACAUUCUUCAAAUUUUUUGCUAUACUUAUAUUCUAUACAGUUUAAUUCAGAAAUUAUAUUAAACCCAGAACACCAUGAGUAGAUAAUAUGUGUUUCAAGAGAUUUGCUUAACAGACUCAGAAUAGUGAAGGAAAAUGUUUAGGUCUCUUAGACAGAAUUUGUAGGCACAAUAUAGUUCCCUACUUUACAUUUUUAAUAGUCUUCCAAAUAAACCCUGCAUUGGUUAGUAUAACAGUAAGUGGUUGUUUCUUUGGAAGAUGGUUUCCCUACAAAAUACUUCUCCAGUGUCAUCUUCAAUAAUAAUAAAGGUGUUUUACCUUGGGUA